rfam:Mycobacterium shinjukuense strain CCTG 53584 Mycobacterium_shinjukuense_CCTG53584_contig118, whole genome shotgun sequence.
AAGAGCCGUAUGAAUCGAGAGGUUCACGUACGGUUCUGUGGGAGCCGGGGGGUGCGACUCCCCCCGGCUACCCGAC